GGUAGGUGACUAGGUUCUCUUGAUUAUGAAUUGAAGCGUCGUUGAGGCGCCGGCUGUAGAAAAGUGAAAAGAGAUGGGAAAGCGAGACAAGAAACAAAGACACCAACACAGAACCUCCCACAGAGCUGCCUUUAACUACACUGAAGAAGGUGAUGAAGGUGUCAGCUUUGAAAGUCAUGCUGCUUCCAAGUUCAGUCUUUCUGAAGAAGAAGAAGUAGAAAAAAAAGAGGAAGAUGAAGAAGAAGACGAAGACGAAGCAGAGAUUGAGGAAACAGAGGAAACUGAUAAAUACCCAUCAAAAGAUAUGCCCUCAAAGUUUCUUCUUUAUCAACAAUCUGUGCAGUCGCCAAAAGGAGACAUAAGCUAUUUGCAGAAGUUCUUUUUGAUGUAUGUGGGUGGGAGGCAACCUCUCCAUCUCCAAGAAGAUUUUUGUGGCACUGCUCUUCUUAGUGCAGAAUGGCUCCGCACAGACUCUAGAAGGACUGCUGUAGGGUUGGAUUUGGACCUUGAAGCGCUAGAAUGGUGCAUGGAGAACAACAUAAAUAAGAUAGGGUCUGAUGGGUAUUCCAGAAUAUCCCUCUUCCAUGGGAAUGUCUUGCAACCUCUUGAGGCCAAGCUAAUUGAGUUUGAGCCCCAGGAGCUGAUAAGAAACAUUUCACUCUCUGAAAACAAAGAUGUUUCUGAGAGUGGUGAACUUGAAGGGGGUUCUUCUUCUCCACAUAAUGAGAAGUACAUGAGGAACCAUCCAUUGCCUGCUAGAGACAUAGUGUGUGCUUUUAACUACAGCUGUUGCUGUCUUCAUCGACGUGCUGAACUGGUUUUGUAUUUCAAGCAUGUUCUUGAUGUCUUGUCAAAGAAAGGUGGAAUAUUUGUAAUGGAUUUAUAUGGUGGUACAUCAUCAGAGUGCAAGCUAAGGCUUCAAAGGAAAUUUGCCAAUUUCACGUAUUUUUGGGAGCAAGCUGAAUUUGAUAUCAUUGAGCGCAAAACAAGGAUUAGUCUCCAUUUCCAUCUCAAAAAGCAGCAGAAGAAACUUCGACACGCAUUUUCAUACAGCUGGAGGCUGUGGUCAUUACCUGAGAUUAAGGACUGCUUAGAAGAGGCAGGUUUUCAAUCUGUCCACUUUUGGUUGCGCGAGAUGCAAGACACCAGAGAAAUCAGAAAAACAGAAGGUUUUGGUGUUGGGCGAGACAUAAAAUAUGAAGAGGUUACAAAAUUUCAGCAACAAGAUGCUUGGAAUGCAUAUGUCGUAGCUGUUGCCUAGCUUCAUGUUAUCAAGUGCCAACUAAUGCAACGGUUGCAGAGACUGGGGAGGGUCAUUUUGCAACUUUGCUCUGGCCUUGAAAAACUUCCAUGAGUACUCCAUCUUUUUCAUGGAGAAGCAUAUUGUCGGGAGGGAUGUUUUAAGGCGAGGUGCUCAUUUCUAAGCUGGUACUGGGAGCAAUAUUACAGUUUAAACGAUCCCAGGCUCCCUUUUAUCACACUUGCUCAACCACUUUUCCCCAAUAUGGAGGGUACAGACUUUGGAGUUGGAAGUCCUUUGCGACACAGAAGCUCAUGUCUGGACUUCUUCUUCUGUAAUUGAAAAGCUAUUCUCGCCACAAGAAACCGAGUUGAUGGACAUAUUCCUCUAAGCUGAAAAUGACCAAGUGAUCACCUUGCGUGGCAUUUGGACAACAGGGGCUGAAGAUAUUGAGCACCACGACCAACUUCACCUUUUCAAGAAAUGUUCUCUUCUGGCUUGCGCAUGAUUACAAUUUACAAGCAGUUGCAACCUUCUUCAAAAAGGAGGGUCUAGCUUUUAGGGAGAGUAUUCUUUGCAUCAUUGACUCUUGGUUGUUACUCGGAGAGUGAUUGCUCACCCAAAAUUAGUACCAUUAAACGUGAAGAUGAGGAUUCCAUUCUUUC